CCUACGUGAGACAGCAGUGAGGAAUAUUGGUCAAGGGGCGCGAGCCUGAACCAGCCAAGUAGCGUGAAGGAUGACUGCCCUACGGGUUGUAAACUUCUUUUAUAAAGGAAUAAAGUGAGUCACGUGUGCCUUUUUGUAUGUACUUUAUGAAUAAGGAUCGGCUAACUCCGUGCCAGCAGCCGCGGUGAUACGGAGGAUCCGAGCGUUAUCCGGAUUUAUUGGGGUUAAAGGGAGCGUAGAUGGGUUGUUAAGUCAGUUGUGAAAGUUUGCGGCUCAACCGUAAAAUUGCAAUUGAUACUGGCAGCCUUGAGUACAGUUGAGGUAGGCGGAAUUCGUGGUGUAGCGGUGAAAUGCUUAGAUAUCACGAAGAACUCCGAUUGCGAAGGCAGCUUACUAAACUGCCACUGACAUUGAUGCUCGAAAGUGUGGGUAUCAAACAGGAUUAGAUACCCGAGUAGUC
rnacentral:rRNA from 1 species